AACAAAAGAAUACAUACAGGUCACUUUAAGACACAAAGUCCUACGCUGUAAACAGGAAGCUCUACCCCAGCCUCCUGGAUGCUAAUCCAGUCUUCCGGCCCUACGCCUCCAGCCUGUUCCCCCUACUCCCAGAGUGGGCUGCCUGCUCUUAGUCCUGUCCAUGUUCAUCUUACGCAGGACUUCAUCCUGGACCCCAGGUCUUCAUAUCCAGCUGUCAUUCUAGCCUUCAAGUUGCUGUUGGCAGGACCAGAACCAUCAUGCCCUAACCCUUGGCUGUCAUCUGGUUCACGGCAGCAGCCCCUCUUCCAGGGGAGUUUCAAGAGCUUCUUCUCUCUAGGAUUCUGAACAUGGCCACUGAUGGGCUUUGGUCUGGACAUUCUUGCUUUCAUUGUAUUGGAAGUUUGUCUAGUCCUUUCAGUGUGGAACAUGACUGCCUUCAGUUCUGGGAUGUUGCUGGAAACAUUCUUCAAAAACUAUCUGUCUUCUCUCUGUAACUCCUGUACACUGAAGGGCGGCUUUUGGGAGGGACCCAUAUCUUUUCUAUAUCUGACCAACUCAUGCUUUGUUCUGCUUUAACAACUUUAUUUCCAACCUCUCCACUGGAUUUUUUUUUAAUUACUCAAUGAAUUUUAUUACAUUUAUAGUUCUACAACGAUCAUAAGAACCCAAUUUUAUAGCAUUUCCACUGGAUUUUAAAACCCCUUUAGCACACGCUCCACUGUUAAGGGCAGUCCCCUCCUCUUUGAUUGCUCCUUGUCACACCGCCCUGUUCUUCCUUUAGGGAGGCAACAGUUUUAUUCUGAGAGUAAUCAGAGGACCUUAUUAAAGUCUUCUUCUGCCCCCGUGCAUAUCUCUUUUCUCCUGGUUCCUUCUGAAAGCUUCCUUUGCAUUGGUCUCUGCUUUUUGUAUUAGCGGCUUUGUCACGUGUCUGGUGACCCUUGGCUCUCCUUUCAUAGUUAAGGGAAAGUCCCUAAAAAGCUGGCUGGAUGUUUGUGCACAUGAGCUGGUGAGGUGUGGUGGUUGUCUGGGCCAUGCACAGGCAGGGUAGUCCUCCUCUUUGGGGCACAUUCGGUUAAAAAGGAGGGAGGGGGGCAGGACACAACCCUUAAAGAAUGACAGAGCCGGUACAGACAAGACAAAAAUUGCUUAGAACAAUUAGGCCUAAGAUGGCAGAAGGUGUGCCUUCCAGUGCACCUCGAGCCUUAUUCUAUACCCACAGUAAUACAUUAGCAGCUAAAGGACAUGCUCACAGGCACCAGGACAGUUCCAAGGCCAACAAUAAAAGGCCAAAAAGUGGGCAGUGGCCCAAUUCCUCAAAAUCCCUGCCGCUUCCUCAAGUGGUCAGAAUAAUCCUCCCACUCAUUAGCCUAUGAAAUUACUCAGCUCAUAAAAAUUCCCCACCCCAUAUUUCAGGGCCUCUCACCUUCUGUCUAUCAAUAAAUCUACUUCUUACUUACUGCUUUGACCCUUGCUGAAUUCCUUCUGCACUGAGAUAUAAAAAACCUGAACUUCAGUAAGUCCUGAGACCAAGUAUAUUAUUUUAAUUUUAAAAUGGUGGGUUCAGGAGUUUCUGUCGUGGCUCAGAGGUUAAUGAAUCUGACUAGCAUUCGUGAGGAUGUGGGUUUGAUCCCUGGCCUCACUCACUGGGUUAAGGAUCCAGCAUUGCUGUGAGCUGUGGUGUAGGUUGCAGACAUGGCCCAGAUGCCACUUGCUGUGGCUGUGAUGUAGGCCAGCAGCUAUAGCUCUGAUUCGACCCCUAGCUUGGGAACCUCCAUAUGCCAUGGGUGUAGCCCUAAAAAUAAAGUCCCAGUCUGAGUUGUGCAAUUUCAGCAAGGUCUUUGAUUUACCUAUGGUUGUUAGGGGACGGUUGACUAUAACCAACUGCCUUGUCCAGGCAGGAUAAUAGCUGCUUGCAUGAGCUGUCCCACAGCAGGGAGCCCUGAUAAGGAACACGUCGCUGCCCUGAAGACUAACUGGGAGGAUCUGGGACGGGCCAGUAGGAGAGAGGAGACCACCAACAUCCCAGGAUCUCUGGAGCUGGCAUCCAUCUUGGCUGAGAGAUGCACACAUCACCAGGAAGAACCCUUAGCCAGAUCAAGUACAGGCUAAGCAAGACAACUGGCCAGAGACUAUCUGGAAACUAACCCCCAUUCCCAUAAAACCUGAGGCUGGGAGCCAGAUAGCAGAGCAGUUCUCCUGGGUUCCCUCACUUGCUGCUCUCUGCCUGGACGCCCCUCCCCAGUAAAGUCUUUUGCUUUGUCAGCACAUGUCUCCUUGGACAAUUCAUUUCUAAGUGUUAGGCAAGAGCCCGUUCUCAGGCCCUGGAAGGGGUUAUCCCUUCUGGUCAUGUGCCUCAUGGUGAUGAAUAACAUUGAGCAGAGGUGAUGUCCUCUCCCCUUGUGCCAUGUCAAGCAGUAGACCUCCAGAAGGAGUUCCCAUCAUGGCUCAGCAGAAACGAAUCUGACUAGCAUACAGGAGGAUGCAGGUUCGAUCCCUGGCCUCACUCAGUGGGUUAAAGAUCCCGUGUUGCCAUAAGCUGUGGUGUAAGUCAUGAACAUAGGCUGGAUCUGACGUUGCUGGGGCUGUGGCAUGGGCUAGCAGCUACAGCUCCAAUUCGACCCCUAGUCUGGGAACCUCCAUAUGCCGUGGGUUCAUUCCUAAGAUAAAUAAAUAAAUAAAUAAAUAAAUGCCACUGAGAUUCUAGAAUAGCAUAACCUCGACUCUCCUGAAGACACAAAAACUGACACAUAGGGGUGGGCGGGGCUGCCACAUAAAUACCUAAAAUACAUCAACUUAGUGGUCUGGCAGUAAACAAGAUUUAUCAGAGCAUCACAAGUGAGAGGAAAAGGGAACAUUUGGAAAAUGUUCAUGGAGACACCUUGGGAAAUAUAAAGUGACUGUGAUGAUUAAUGUAAGUAAGGUGACUGGGCCACAGGUGCCCAUACUUGGUUAAACCCUCUCUGGGUGUGUCUGAGAGGUUGUUUGUGGAUAAGAUUAGCAUUUGAAUUGUGAACCCAGUGAAGCAGAUGCUUUCCAAUGGUGGCGGUGUGGGUGGGGGGUGUUUCAUCCAACCUGCUAAGGAGCUGAAAAGAACAAAAGGCCGAAUAAGAGCUGGGACAUAGGUCUUCUGCCUCCAGAUUCCAAUCUGGCCUAGAACUGACUUCAUUGGCCCUCCUGGUUCUCAGGCCUCUAUAAAUCUAGACGGAUCCAUAAACACAUCUAUCCAGACACACACUGAGAGAGAUUAGAUUAUAGAUAUAGAUGAAGUUAUAGAUACAGAGAUAGAAAUACAUCCUAUUGGCCUGGUGUCCCCAACAGAAUAGUCUAUGAUCUUGCAGCUCGAGGAAACUGGAGUAUUGAGAGCAUCCCUGCAUUGAUGGCAGGUGCAUUUGGCAUAAGGCUUAAUAUGAAACGUAGUGAUGAGGUUUAGAAGAGAGUGUGUGGGCAUUCAAGCAGGAAUGCAAAGGAAGAGAGUCAAUAAUUUGGGGAUUUCCAUUGUUAGAAGCAGGAACUCCUUCUCAAAGCCAAAUAGUAACAGAAAGAAAAGGCCUAUGAGGUCUAUGAGAAAAAGAUUUUAAAGGAUGAUUAUCAGUAGCCUUGAAGUAAGAACCACAAAAGCAUAGCCACCAAAUUCAUGGUUAAAACAAAGGUGUUUGUU
rnacentral:lncRNA from 1 species